GCCUAGUUAGCUUGGAGGGUAGUGCGUCUGCCUUGUGAGCGCUAGGUUGCGGGUUCGAUUCCCGUCCGAGGCG
rfam:Asian citrus Psyllid, Diaphorina citri - Florida Strain, whole genome shotgun sequence.